AGGCACCUGUGAACCAUGUUGGCAUGAAGCAUUAAUGGGUCUCAUUUCCCUUCUGGUGGGUGCACCUGAGGGAAACUUACAAGGCAGCUGGUUGUCGAAGAAGCCAAAACCAGAAGCUGACAGCAAAUCAUAAAGCCCCUGGGUCUCCAUCCACCCCGUUGGCUGCCAGCUCUGAAUUCACAUCAUGGCCUUGGUCACUGUGUUGCUCUCUGCAUCUCUCCUGGUGUGGUAAGGACCGGAGGGCUCUUACUCAAACCCACCUCACCUGGCACAUUGAAACACAGCAGCAACAGCAAUCCAGAUCCUUGAGGCCUUCCCACCAUACUGACUUGGAGCUGAGACAUGUUACUUGCUUUGGCCAACGACACGAGAAGGCGUGAGUCUUGGAAAGACCCAAGAGUAGUGCUUGAUUUCUCUCGCUGUUCUUGGGAACCCUGCAACUACGGCCAUGUGGAGGCGCCCAGACUACCCAGUCCAAUGAUGACAGACUUGUAGCCCAUUAGCCUCCAUUAGUCCUGCCAACUGCCACACAUGAGUGAGGCCGUGGAUCAUCAGCUGACUGCAAACACGAGUGAGCCCAGCUAACCCCUCAGUGAAGAAGAGAGCCUUCCCU